rnacentral:rRNA from 1 species
GAUGAACGCUGGCGGCGUGCCUAAUACAUGCCAGUCGAGCGAACAGACGAGGAGCUUGCUCCUUUGACGUUAGCGGCGGACGGGUGAGUAACACGUGGGUAACCUACCUAUAAGACUGGGAUAACUUCGGGAAACCGGAGCUAAUACCAGAUAAUAUUUCGAACCGCAUGGUUCGAUAGUGAAAGAUGGCUUUGCUAUCACUUAUAGAUGGACCUGCGCCGUAUUAGCUAGUUGGUAAGGUAACGGCUUACCAAGGCAACGAUACGUAGCCGACCUGAGAGGGUGAUCGGCCACACUGGAACUGAGACACGGUCCAGACUCCUACGGGAGGCAGCAGUAGGGAAUCUUCCGCAAUGGGCGAAAGCCUGACGGAGCAACGCCGCGUGAGUGAUGAAGGUCUUCGGAUCGUAAAACUCUGUUAUUAGGGAAGAACAAACGUGUAAGUAACUGUGCACGUCUUGACGGUACCUAAUCAGAAAGCCACGGCUAACUACGUG